rnacentral:rRNA from 1 species
GACGAACGCUGGCGGCGUGCUUAACACAUGCAAGUCGAACGGAAAGGCCCUGCUUGCAGGGUACUCGAGUGGCGAACGGGUGAGUAACACGUGGGUGAUCUGCCCUGCACUUCGGGAUAAGCCUGGGAAACUGGGUCUAAUACCGGAUAGGAGCCAUUUUUAGUGUGAUGGUUGGAAAGUUUUUUCGGUGUAGGAUGAGCUCGCGGCCUAUCAGCUUGUUGGUGGGGUAAUGGCCUACCAAGGCGGCGACGGGUAGCCGGCCUGAGAGGGUGGACGGCCACAUUGGGACUGAGAUAAGGCCCAGACUCCCACGGGAGGCAGCAGUGGGGAAUAUUGCACAAUGGGCGCAAGCCUGAUGCAGCGACGCCGCGUGGGGGAUGACGGCCUUCGGGUUGUAAACUCCUUUCGCUAGGGACGAAGCUUUUUGUGACGGUACCUAGAUAAGAAGCACCGGCUAACUACGUG